rnacentral:lncRNA from 1 species
ACCGAGCUUUUAUAAUAAGCGGUCUCCUUUUAGCCUUCUAUAAGAACCAAACUUCGUCCGAACUUCCAUAGCGGAUGGAUAUCGAACGAGCUUCUACGACGGACGGACUCUGACAGCUGGAUUUCUACAACGAUCGAUCGCCUCCGAUGUCUGCCGAACCUCCACGACGCCAUCCGAAGUCCACCACCGGUCGACCCUC